rnacentral:rRNA from 1 species
AGGGAAUCUUCCGCAAUGGACGAAAGUCUGACGGAGCAACGCCGCGUGAGCGAAGAAGGCCUUCGGGUCGUAAAGCUCUGUUGUUAGGGAAGAACAAGUACGAGAGUAACUGCUCGUACCUCGACGGUACCUAACCAGAAAGCCACGGCUAACUACGUGCCAGCAGCCGCGGUAAUACGUAGGUGGCAAGCGUUGUCCGGAAUUAUUGGGCGUAAAGCGCGCGCAGGCGGUUUCUUAGGUCUGAUGUGAAAGCCCACGGCUCAACCGUGGAGGGUCAUUGGAAACUGGGGAACUUGAGUGCAGAAGAGGAGAGUGGAAUUCCACGUGUAGCGGUGAAAUGCGUAGAGAUGUGGAGGAACACCAGUGGCGAAGGCGACUCUCUGGUCUGUAACUGACGCUGAGGCGCGAAAGCGUGGGGAGCGAAC